rnacentral:rRNA from 1 species
AGGAUGAACGCUAGCUACAGGCUUAACACAUGCAAGUCGAGGGGAAACGAUAUUGGAAGCUUGCUUCUGAUAGGCGUCGACGGCGCACGGGUGAGUAACGCGUAUCCAACCUGCCAUCACUUGGGGAUAACCUUGUGAAAGUAAGACUAAUCCCAAAUGACGUCUCUAGAAGACAUCUGAAAGAGAUUAAAGAUUUAUCGGUGAUGGAUGGGGAUGCGUCUGAUUAGCUUGUUGCGGGGUAACGGCCCACCAAGGCGACGAUCAGUAGGGGGUUCUGAGAGGAAGGUCCCCCACAUUGGAACUGAGACACGGGUCCAAACUCCUACGGGAGGCAGCAGUGAGGAAUAUUGGUCAAUGGACGAGAGUCUGAACCAGCCAAGUAGCGUGCAGGAUGACGGCCCUAUGGGUUGUAAACUGCUUUUAUAAGGGAAUAAAGUGGGAGUCGUGACUCUUUUUGCAUGUACCUUAUGAAUAAGGACCGGCUAAUUCCGUG